rnacentral:rRNA from 1 species
AUCUGUGGCCAUGCCACCCUGAACAAGCCUGAUCCCAUCUGAUCUCGGAAGCUAAGCAGGGUUGGGCCUGGUUAGUACUUGGAUGGGAGACCACCUAGGAAGACCAGGUGUUGUAGACC